GUCGCGCGCCUGCGCCUAUGCUUCCUGGCGCUCAGAGGUGGUCGCGGCCCCAGCGGAGAGAUUUGUCACUAAUUCCAGCUGGCCUCGUCCCAGCCAAUCUGAAUGACCGAAAUGCAGAGUGAAUACAAUUUAAUCAGCGGCUCGGCCCCCGCGGGAUGAGCUGGCGGUGUCUCUGUGGGCCUCGUCGCUAAAAGAUCUCCAGCCUGUGGCAACACACUGAUCACCAUAGAGACCUGAGAAGUGCCCUCGCCUCACUGGUACCACAUUUACAAACCAACCCUUAAAGUGGAUUAUUUUGUAGAUGGCUGCUUUCAUCUAUUCAAUGUUGAUUCUAUUAGUUCUAAUUUCAGAGGGUGACAUUUUCUGACCUUGUCCCCUUAAGCACAAGCAAAAACUUUGGCUUCUUUUUUUUUUUUUUUUUUUGGAAGUGAAAAAUAUAUAGUGUGCUUGGGGAAACAGUGAGGAAACAAGACAGAUGGAGGGGAGGGUUUGUUCAACACCCACAACAUGCCAGUAACUGGGCUAGAUAGUAGGGAUUACAGUGGGGAACAAGAUUAACCUUGUGGACCUCACAAACUCUU